UUUUUUUUUUUUUUUUUGGUCUUUUUAGUGGCAUAAGGAAGUUCCAGAUGCCAUGGAUGUGGCCCUAAAAGGCAAAAAAGAAAAAAGAAAAAGAAAAAAGAAAAAAGAAAAAAAAAUGAUGCAAAGAGCAGAGAAGGGGAAGGAAGACGCAGUGAGUGAACACUAAAAGUAAUGAAUAAGAGGACAAUCCUAGAAAUACCAAAAAAGUCACAGGACAGAUCAUCUCUUAUUUUACAAAUGUUCUGAUGGUGAUGAUAAGGCAGAAGAGAGGUAGAGUAGGGUUGGGGAUGAGUCAUUUCAGAACAUUGUGAAAUCAACAAGCCUCAUAUGAAUAUCUCCAUUCUCAAUUUUUUAUGACUCUGAUCAAAUUGUCACUUAUAAAGAAAUGGUCAGGAAAUGGACAUCUAAUUAGAAAACAAGCUGAUAAAAUUAUAUAGAAUGGUGCGGUGUUAACAAUUUACGUAGGGCUCACAUACCAUUUUCAGGAAGACAUAAAAGUGAGGUCAUAGAACUCUGAUCUCAAUAAAAUGAUGUGAAAGAUGAGAGAAUUUUAAGUCUGGCAGUGACCAUUAUCUAACAUUUAAAUUGCUUCUCCAAUUCCCAUAUUUUGUAUUGAACUGCCUUUUGUUUGUCCACAAUCAGUGAUAGGAAACUCAUUACUUUGUUUUAUCAGACCAGGACAUUUCUAUGUAUAUAUUCUCCAGACUUUCCAGAUCUUUUUCAAUAGGUACCUGUCACAUGGCCCCUUAGUUUGUGAAUAAACCAAAGUGUUAUAUGUUAUCAAUAUCAUCCUCUAAGACACUAAUAGAUAAGUUGAAGAAAUAUUUAAGAAAAUUAACAUGUCAAGAGAUAAGUCUGCUGAUUUAAGAAUGAAACUCCUUGGAGUUCCCAUCAUGGUUCAGGGAAAACAAAUAUGACUAAUAUCCAUAAGGAUGCAGGUUUGAGCCCUAGCCUGGCUCAGUGGGUUAAGGAUCCUGCAUUGCUGUGGCUGUGGUGUAGGAGGCAGCUAUAGCUCCGAUUCAACCCCUGGCCUGGGAACCUCCAUAUGCCAUGGGUGUGGCCCUGAAAACCAAAAAAAAAAAAAAAGGAAUGAAACUCCUAUAAAUACGACAUAGAGAAACAAAAUUGUAAAGAUAUUUGGAGGUUUUUUUUGGAGAAAUUGUGGCAAUAAAGUAUACAAUAACAUUUUGGAAAGGAAGAAAUUUGGGGGCUAGGGUGAGCUCAUGGUUGUACUCAGGGGAAAAUGUAUUUCUAUGGAUAGAAACCAGAAGGAGAUAUGAAACUGAAUUUUGGCCUAGAACCAAUUAUGAAGCCCAGAAAAAAAGAGAUUUAGUAACUAAUAUCUAUCUAUAUACUUAGUCUUUACUUAAAGUACAGGUGAAUUAUGUAGUUUGACCUAGGGUAAUGAUACAAACCAACCAAUAGGAAUUUUUGUCAGGCCAAAGUGAUCCAUCUGAAAGAGUUUAAUGUGAUUUACUUCUUCCCUCAAAUUAUAAUGAAACAGUAUAUGUGUGCUUAGAGACCUAUUGAGUCCAUACAGUAUAGAAAAAUCACAGAAAUGACAACAGAAUGGUGACUUCAAGGACAUAGUCUCAAGGACAUAUUCCUUAAAAGUGACACUGUUAAUCACCUGGAUAUUAACAGUUACCAAACUCUAUGCCAGGCAAUGUGCUAGGUUCUGAAGAAACACAGAUGAAGCAGGCAUGUCUUACCUCCAGAAAGAAGCUUAUAGUUUAGAAGGAGAAUUUGAUGCACACAAAAUUAAUUCACUUGGGAGGAGGAAGGAACACCUGCCUUGUGGGGGAAGUUAGAACUGGCUUCACAUAGGAAACAAGGAUUUGAGCUUUCAGGAUUUGAAGGAUGAGUGGGACUUCAAGCAUUAUAAAUGGAGAAAGGGGCAUUGCAUACAGCUGUGACAUAUGGAUAAGAACUAUGGGGCAUAAUAAGCUCUUUAGUCUAUAUCUUCUAUUUUGCGAAUGUUAGCUUGACUUGGCAAAAGGUUAGGCAAAGGAGAAGAGCUGUCUUCCAUAUCACGACCAUCCUGCUCAACUUUCAGGCCAUCUACUUUGGGCCAUUUUGAUCUCUAGCUCUCCUCUACCAUGCCCUGCUCACGCCUCAUUGGGGUUGCCAGAAUAAGAAGCCAGGGCAAAGAUGCCUGUGUGUGUAUAAGACAAGAGUACAAUCGCAUGUCUACAUGGACUAAUGUACAAAAGGCUGACAUUUGUUUUCCAUCUGAUACAUACUCAUUACAAGAGUCUUUAAUGGACUGAAGUUUUUAACACUUUCGAUUCUGAGAGAAUCAGGGGAUGUGUUGACCUUAGGUAUGUCUAACAUGCCUUGAUUUCGGGAUUAAUAAAUCAUUAAGCUCCUUCAUCUGAUAUUAUUUUUGCAUUGGUGCCUGGAUGACAUACCAAAUUUUCUGCCUAAUUCUGGGAGACAGUAGUUCUCAGACACUUCUGCAAAAAAUUGGAAAAUCCCUUAAUGUCUAGUCUUCUGGGCACCGCACACCUGGAAGAGUCCCAGAAAAUACCACUCUAACAAGCCCCUUUAGAUCAUACUAAGCCAAUGUUAUGAACCACUAUACUAUUUCAUGGCAUAAACUUGGUAGUAUUAUUGUAGUUUUACCAAUGAUAAUAUUAUAUUUUCAACAGUAUCUGCCAUUAAAAUGAUCAUUUAUAAUUUAUAAAGUAUGUCUAAGUGCAUUACCUUAUUUAAGUCUCCCAUGAGCCCUAAGAUGAGAAUUAUUAUGAAUCCCAUUUUAUAAACAGGCAGGCCAGGAUCCAGAGGAAUAAAUGACUUGCCCUAAAUCACUCAACUAUUUGGCCACAAGGGAAAAAAACAAUCAAGAUCUUGUUCCAAGUCCUAUGCCUUUUAUUGUCCCAGAAUGACCUGUGUUAUUUUGUGCCACAUAGAAUCAAAUUUAAUAAAAUGAGUAACUGUGUGCUUGGCAAUGAAACCCAUGCCCAUAUUUCUUCCUUGAUCUUAAACAGAGAUAUCAUGAUAUUGUUAUUUUGCUAUGUAAACUUGUUUCAAAUACAGGACAUCUACAUUGUUGUCUGAGACAGGAUAUCAAAUCCAGAGUAUCAGGAGUUUUGGAAACAUUCUAUCAACUCUAAAAGAGUGUUGUCUAUUAUUGACUAUACACUUAGUUAUGCUUCCCUUAUUAAAGAGUUGGCCCCUUUCCUCCAACUUAGAUUCAUUUUUCUUUUUUUAAAAAAAAAAUUAUUAUAGCUGAUUUAUAGUGUUCUGUCAAUUUCUGCUGCAUAAAUUCUGGCAACAAAGUGACCCAGUUAUACAUAUACAUACAUUCUUUUUCUCAUAUUAUCUUCUAUCAUAUCAUCCCCCCUAAGAAAGAACCAUGUCUAUGUAAAUUAAACAUAAAUUAUUACCAACACUAGAAUAGCCAUUUCCUACAUCCUUCUUUGGAUACUCAGUUGUGUGUAUAUAUAUAUGUAUAUAUGUAUAUAUAUGUGUAUGUGUGUGUGUGUGUGUGUGUGUGUGUGUGUGUGUAUGAAAGCAGAGAAAACCAGUAUAGAAAAGGAAACUCAUUGAUAUCAAUGUGCCCACUUUGAUAUUAUAUUCAAAAUAUCCAAGCAGAGAAUGGAUGACCAGCCCAUUCUUCAGAUGGAAUUCCUUCAAGGGACAGAAGGUUAGCUGCCCAUGUGCCUACCCCAUUUUGCUGCCAUGUGUUCAGAUCCCUCCUUGCUAAGACACAUCACCCCCUUUUGAAUAUAUGUGGCUCAGUUUCCAUUUUUAUAAAACACAUCCUUGACAUUUACAUGGAUCAGCAGAAACAACAAACUUUUGGAACAAAUUAUUGUUAAUUUAAGGUAGAAACAUCUGACUUGGACAUCACUCUGACAAUGAUCUCUCUGAUGAAGUCCUCAUUCAAAUUUUA
rnacentral:lncRNA from 1 species